AAUGUGUUUUCUGUGUUAAAAUAUUGCACACUAGGGCUGUGAUUCAAAAAGCAGUGGAAUGCCCCAUGAUGCCCCAAAAUGCUGUGUGUGCUUCAGGUUCAAGGUUUUCCAUUACCUCCCGGUACCCCUUCACCAAUGAUACCACCAUUUAAUAGGCUUGUGUCGUAUAGAAACUGGAGAGAGAGACAGAGGAGAUGUAGCAGACAGAGAAAGCAAGAACAUAGCAAGUCACUAUACAGGCAAAAGAGGAGAAAAAGAAGACAGAGAAGAAGGAGAGAGAAGGAGGUAGGUCCUAAAAAAAAUAGU
rnacentral:lncRNA from 1 species